rnacentral:lncRNA from 1 species
UAUUCAAAGUCAGGGUUUGUAUUAGUGAUUUGGGUUUUAUGUAAUAUCAUUAGGACUAUUAAUUUUGGCUAGUUUGUACAAUUGGUGUAACAUCUACAGUUGAAAAUUUAAUAUUAUUUGGAUUAUUGAGUGCGCUAAGUGUAUAAAAUUUUUUAUAAUAAUCUAAUGGUGUGGUUUAGAGAUAUCUAGUUUUUUAUACAAGACGAUUUCAGAAGAUGGCAGUUUGAGGUUCGAUAGGAAUUCUAUGCUAUCUAAAGAUCUAUUAGUCAAAUUAAGGUAAAAAUUGGUAUAGUAUUGAAGGACUUGAAGAUCAAGCUACAAACCAAAUUUAAGACAAAGUUAAUGGUUGCAAAGAAGAAAUCAUUGUUAGAAUUUCAGCUUCACUUUUCAAGUUAGCAGUUGAGUGUCACGGAAAUACUCAUAUAAGCUAGUAAUUAUAUAUACAAGUAGGUAAAAG